rnacentral:lncRNA from 1 species
UUUUUCUUGAUUUUAAUUUUAGUGCUGUUUAAUCAAACAUGCAUUUAACAGGGUCUCAGUAGGCAUUUUCAAUGACGAUGAACUUCAAAGAAAAUGAAAUGAGGCAAAUGUGCUUUCCUAACAUUUAAAAAUACAAUUCAAGUUACUGUCUUUAAUGCCCGCAAAAAACUCUGCUAUCCUGGGUACGAGGAGGGCUCUCAGUAACAAGUCUGAUUUAAGAACAUUAAUUUCAAUCCCAAUCUUCUCUAUUACCUCACCUUACCCUAAAAUUCUCUUCUCACUGGGACUAGAAAUUUCCUUUCAUCCUGAAACUAGGUCCAGUCGUAUUACCUGGGCAGCCACAGGCUCCCAUCUGUCUGCCCUUGAUCUUAUUUCUCCUGCAUUUUUAUUUCAGUGUCAUUCUCUACUUGCACUUCAUUGCACUCCUGCUGUCAAGUCUGGUGUCUGUGGCACGUCAUCGGGUACUGCUGCCCAAGCUGUGCACUCCAUGGGCUGUCAUUCAGGUGAUUGUGUUCUAACAAGGCACAGGUAUUCUGAAAUCUCACUAGCAUGUUCUGGCCAAGUGAGCAUAUUAUGGACAAGGGCAGACAGAGAACACUGGACAUUUGGAACUAAGGGUCCACUCCAUAAAUAAUAUAACUGGAACAUUAACGAUCAUGAUGCUCUUGGUGAAGAAUUGAUGGUGGUGAUGUUGGCAGGACAUGUUGCACUGGCUGCCCACUCCUGCCCUGAAUCUUGUAGGUUUCUUACGGCACAAAGAGAAGCCUGCAAGUUCAUCCAUUUGCAACUGGCCAUUUCAUGAAGGGUGAAGCCUUCCCAAGGAUCGUCAAAGCUUUCUACUACACUAUGACAAUGCUGGGAAAGAGAGAGAGAUUUGAACUGAUUUCGGUGACUUAUACAAUAUUAAUGUAUGUUCCACAUGCUGCAGAUACUGACCAAACUAAAACCUCAUUUAACAAUUGAGCACAUAAAAAAAUUCUAUGGCACAAGCAGAAAGAAUUAAAGCAGAAGGAGCCACAGAGCAAUAGACAUUUUAAUAUAAGGAAAAUAAUUUACAGGUGCCUGCGUGGUUCAGUGGUUGAAUGUCCCUAGGUCAGUCACAUGGUCAGUAAAUGGGAGAUCUGAAAUCUGAGCUUAGGCUGCCACUCCAAGCAGUUUUUUAAUUUUUGUUUAAGAUUGUACACUAAAUACUCUUUAUGUAAUUAAUUAAUUAGUUCCUUGUUUUUCAUUUUUUUGUUUUUUAGUGAAACACCUACAUAGUAUUCAUUACAUGCUUGGAGUUCACAUGUGCCAACUCCAGUCCUCAUGGCAACCUUAUUAGUCAGGUACCUAAAUCCUGUGAGGAGAGGAUCUGUAUUGUAUAUGUUUUUGCCUAUGUGCGAUCUCUGUCUUAAAUCUGUCUAGUAACCCCACUAUCCCUCUCCCUAGCGCCUUCAGUGACAAGCUACAAAGUUGGCACAAAUGUUCGCUAAACUUUAAAAAGUGAUUAUUUCUUGAGUUUUGUGGUGGGACGUGUUGGAUUAGAGCAUGAAGAUUGCUUCUUUUUAAAUAUGUGUACAUACUUGCAUACAUUUUCAUAUUCACAUCAAUAUACUUAUAAUAANGUGAAGAUUGCUUAUGUGUACAUACUUGCAUACAUUUUCAUAUUCACAUCAAUAUACUUAUAAUAAACGAUUAUUACAUUUAUAACA